CAGUCGCCGCGGUAAUACGGAGGGGGCUAGCGUUGUUCGGAAUUACUGGGCGUAAAGCGCACGUAGGCGGCUUGGUAAGUUAGAGGUGAAAGCCUGGAGCUCAACUCCAGAAUUGCCUUUAAGACUGCCGAGCUAGCAGGUGAGAGAGGUAAGUGGAAUUCCGAGUGUAGAGGUGAAAUUCGUAGAUAUUCGGAAGAACACCAGUGGCGAAGGCGGCUUACUGGCUCAUACUGGACGCUGAGGUGCGGAAGCGUGGGGAGCAAACAGGAUUAGAUACCCCAGUAGUCCCUGUCUCUUAUAC
rnacentral:rRNA from 1 species